rnacentral:rRNA from 1 species
GUGCCAGCCGCCGCGGUAAUACGGAGGGUGCGAGCGUUAAUCGGAAUUGCUGGGCGUAAAGGGCGCGUAGGCGGUCGCGCAAGUCGGGUGUGAAAGCCCCGGGCUCAACCUGGGAAUUGCAUUCGAUACUGCGUAACUAGAGUCUGGUAGAGGGAAGCGGAAUUCCGCAUGUAGCGGUGAAAUGCGUAGAUAUGCGGAGGAACACCAGUGGCGAAGGCGGCUUCCUGGACCAAGACUGACGCUGAGGCGCGAAAGCGUGGGGAGCAAACAGGAUUAGAUACCCUGGUAGUCCACGCCCUAAACGAUGAGGACUAGACGUUGGGGGAGUAAAACCUUAACGUGUCGCAGCUAACGCGUGAAGUCCUCCGCCUGGGAGGUACGGCCGCAAGGUUAGAAACUACAAAUAGAAUUGGCGG